GACGUCACAAGCAUACAGAAAUACUGUUUUGCGCUAAAAAAGUUUGUUUCAACAAUUAGUUUUGGGGAAACAUGCCUCCAGAUCUACAGAAAGAGGUUCGCGCAAAUUUAUAGAUAAAACAUCGGAUGUUUGAGAACAAGGGAUUGAUUGACUGCUUCAUGGAGUAUUAUAAACACUGAAGGUUUUGUAACAGGAUUUAUCUGCUGAAGACAACUAACAUAUUUGAAUAGCAGAGAUUUAGAUGAAUCAAGUGAUUAGGAACAAAGAGCAAGGC